UUUUCUUCAAUUUCGUGUAUCUGCUGUGUUUCCACCGUGGUUUCGCCAAGGUGUGGAUGCGCUGGUUUUCAUCAAACAUCGACUCAUCUUGCUGAACAUCGCUUUGUCGAACGUCGCUCCGUCGAACUUUGUUUAGUGAUUGUGGUCGAACGUUGUCUUCCGUCUUCGACCGUGAGUUCGCCGUCCCCUGGGCUUAUUGUUCAAUCGCCUCGCGCUCGGCCAUCUCUAAUUUGGUUUGUUUCCCCUAACUUUAAUCUCUGAAAGUAGGUUGUUGUUUCCUCGAACUUUUGUAGGUUGUUCACAAAAGUAGUCAAAGAGGAAUACAUAUUAGGCCUGUUAGACCCCGCCAAUGAGUAUACUUUCAGGCAGAUGAGGUUCAUGCCUGCAUUGUGACAUGUGGGAAUCUUUGCCCUAGACUCAAUUUUGUUAUCAGGGAGCUAGUAUGUGGUUUAUGCAAUAUGUAUGGUGUCAAGAAGGUUCUUGGAAUUGAAGAUGGAUAUAGAGGUUUCUAUUCUAAGAAUACCAUACAUUUAACUCUAAAGUUCGUGAAUGAUAUCCAUAAACGUGGUGGAACUAUCAUUGGGACAUCACAAGGUGGUCAUGAUACCUUAAAGAUAGUUGACAAUAUUCAAGAUCGUGGCAUCAAUCAUGCAUGAAUAUUAUCUUUUUGCAAUUUUGAUGGAAAUUAGAUUCUUAGAAAUGUUUUAUACAAUGUACAUACUUAACUAUAAACUCAAAUUCUUGGAUCUUUGUUCAUUGCCUUAAUUUCCUCAGGUUUAUAUAAUUGGUGGAGAUGGAACUCAGAAGGGAGCAACUUAUAUGAGUCAGAAGGAGAGGGCUCAAAGUUUCAAUUGUUGGGAUCCCGAAAACCAUCGAUAAUGACAUACUGGUCAUUGACAAGUCAUUUAGCUUUGACACUACUGUUGAAGAGGCUCAGCGGGCUAUAAAUGCAGCCCAUGUUGAAGUCGAAAGUAUGGAGAAUGGUAUAGGGCUUGUAAAGUUGAUGGGUCACUAUUGUGAUAAGUUUAUGGCUUUAGAAAAAAGCUAGUAGUUAGCUACUUUGCACACUUUCUCUUUUACAUUGUGCGAUCUCUUCUCUUCUUCCGUGGCUUGGGUCGCUAUAGCAUUUAUGAUUAGUAGAACUUCUAGACUUGAACUUGUCAAAAUGUAUUUUCCCAUUACCUUUACAAAGUUUUAUUGUUGGUUUUGUGGCGACGAGCACAAGGUUCAUAGCGACGUAUGCAACUCUUGCAAGCAGGGACGUAGACUGUUGUUUAAUUCCAGAGUCACAUUUCUAUCUCGAAGGUCCUGGUGGACUUUAUGAAUACAUAGCAAGAUGUCUCAAACACAACGACCACAUGGUCAUUAUCAUUGCAGAAGGAGCUGGACAGGAGUUGCUUUCUGGAAGCUUUGGUUCUGAUAAGCAGAAUGCUUCUGGAAAUAAGCUUCUUCAAGAUAUUGGGCUAUGGCUGUCACAAAAAAUCAAGAUGGAUACACGAAAAUCAUACUCACAUGUCGAAUUAGGCGAGGUGCUGGUUAAGUUAGCUAAUUUUUUGGGUUCGUACAUAUGAUUGCGACUUAUUUGUGAUUCUGAAGCACAAAUUUUUUUUGUUGUGGUUGCCAUUCUGAAACUUUAUAUAUAAGGAUAAUAUAGGUGAAUUUUUGAAUUGUUCAUAUGGAGGGGGGUUAAUUGGUAUACUUUUGAGAUUGGAUUUAUUAUAGAUAGAUAUACUUUUGGGCUAAGUUAAUUAAUUAGAGGAUGUUGAGUGGAAAUGUAACGCCCCAAAUUUCGAGAUAAGUUUUAACAUUUUAUGUUAAUUUUCGAGAAUUUAAAAUUUUCGGUGUUAA